AUCUAAGGCUGUAAUGAAAUAGAGAGAAUAAUAGUAAGAGAUAACGAAAUGGAAUCAGACUGAAAUCAGUGAAGGUUAUUCAGAUUCCAUAUUUUUCUAGUGCUAAAGCAACACAUAAAUGCAGUUGGAAGUGCAGAAUACACAGAGGAACCUGCAACCAAAGCAAGAUUUCAGACAUCCUUGAGCUUACCCGGCUGCUUUACCUCGCCAUCAUUGCUAGGAACUGGAUACAGCGAGAAGGUUUUUGCAAUAAUUGGUGUUAAGGUCCAUGCUGCAGGGAUAUAUGUAAAUGCGUCCAU